rnacentral:rRNA from 1 species
UACGAAGGGGGCUAGCGUUGUUCGGAAUCACUGGGCGUAAAGGGCGCGUAGGCGGCUUUAUAAGUCGGGGGUGAAAGCCUGUGGCUCAAUCACAGAAUUGCCUUCGAUACUGUAUGGCUUGAGACCGGAAGAGGUAAGUGGAACUGCGAGUGUAGAGGUGAAAUUCGUAGAUAUUCGCAAGAACACCAGUGGCGAAGGCGGCUUACUGGUCCGGUUCUGACGUUGAGGCGCGAAAGCCAGGGGAGCGAACGGG